CAUAAUAACUUACGAAUCGCAUGGCCUUGUGCGGCGAUGGUUCAUUCAAAUUUCUGCCCUAUCAACUUUCGAUGGUAGGAUAGUGGCCUACCAUGGUUUCAACGGGUAACGGGGAAUUAGGGUUCUAUUCCGGAGAGGGAGCCUGAGAAACGGCUACCACAUCCAAGGAAGGCAGCAGGCGCGCAAAUUACCCAAUCCCGACACGGGGAGGUAGUGACAAUAAAUACUGAUACAGGGCCCUUUUGGGUCUUGUAAUUGGAAUGAGUACAAUUGAAAUCCCUUAACGAGGAACAAUUGGAGGGCAAGUCUGGUGCCAGCAGCCGCGGUAAUUCCAGCUCCAAUAGCGUAUAUUAAAGUUGUUGCAGUUAAAAAGCUCGUAGUUGAACCUUGGGCCUGGCUGGCCGGUCCCGCCUCACCGCGUGCACUGGUCCGGCCGGGCCUUUCCUUCUGGGGAGCCGCAUGCCCUUCACUGGGUGUGUCGGGGAACCAGGACUUUUACUUUGAAAAAAUUAGAGUGUUCAAAGCAGGCCUAUGCUCGAAUACAUUAGCAUGGAAUAAUAGAAUAGGACGUGUGGUUCUAUUUUGUUGGUUUCUAGGACCGCCGUAAUGAUUAAUAGGGGAUAGUCGGGGGCAUCAGUAUUCAAUUGUCA
rnacentral:rRNA from 1 species